rnacentral:sRNA from 1 species
AAUGGUAUCAGAUCAUAACAAUGUGGUCGAGUAGAGCAAUCUUGGCAUGGUUCAGUUUUACUUCAAUUUCAUUGACUACGCAACAGACAACUAGCAACGAGGGCACAAAGUUUAUCCGGUGAACCAAAAUGCUUACAAGGCUAUCUCAUCAUUAUCCCUUAUGCAUAUGCAACAAUCCUAAAUAAAACACUUUAGACUCGAUCCUAAAUGUAAUGCAACUACAUGAACACUAUGUUUUUGAGAAAUCAUUUUCU